rnacentral:rRNA from 1 species
AGUGAACGCUGGCGGUAGGCCUAACACAUGCAAGUCGAACGGCAGCACAGGAGAGCUUGCUCUCUGGGUGGCGAGUGGCGGACGGGUGAGGAAUACAUCGGAAUCUACUCUGUCGUGGGGGAUAACGUAGGGAAACUUACGCUAAUACCGCAUACGACCUACGGGUGAAAGCAGGGGACCUUCGGGCCUUGCGCGAUUGAAUGAGCCGAUGUCGGAUUAGCUAGUUGGCGGGGUAAAGGCCCACCAAGGCGACGAUCCGUAGCUGGUCUGAGAGGAUGAUCAGCCACACUGGAACUGAGACACGGUCCAGACUCCUACGGGAGGCAGCAGUGGGGAAUAUUGGACAAUGGGCGCAAGCCUGAUCCAGCCAUACCGCGUGGGUGAAGAAGGCCUUCGGGUUGUAAAGCCCUUUUGUUGGGAAAGAAAUCCAGCUGGCUAAUACCCGGUUGGGAUGACGGUACCCAAAGAAUAAGCACCGGCUAACUUCGUGCCAGCCGCCGCCGUAA